rnacentral:rRNA from 1 species
GAGGAACGCGUAGGUAAUCCACCCUCUGGCGGGGGACAACACUCCGAAAGGAAUGCUAAUACCGCGUAAGACCACGCUCACUUCGGUGAAAGCGGUUAAAGGUGCCUCAAAGCACCACCAGAGGACGAGCCUGCGUCCCAUCAGCUUGUUGGUAAGGUAAUGGCUUACCAAGGCGAAGACGGGUAGCUGGUCUGAGAGGAUGAUCAGCCACACUGGCACUGGAACACGGGCCAGACUCCUACGGGAGGCAGCAGUGAGGAAUAUUGGGCAAUGGGCGAAAGCCUGACCCAGCCACGCCGCGUGUGUGAUGAAGGCCUUCGGGUCGUAAAGCACU